GAAAUGCGAUAAGUAAUGUGAAUUGCAGAAUUCAGUGAAUCAUCGAAUCUUUGAACGCACCUUGCGCUCCUUGGUAUUCCGAGGAGCAUGCCUGUUUGAGUGUCAUGGAAUUCUCAACCCUCUUAUCCUUGUGGUGAGAUUGGGUUGGAUUUGGAGGUUUAUGCUGGCUUGUAAUGAGUCGGCUCCUCUUGAAUGCAUUAGCUUGGACCUUUGCGGAUCAGCUUUUCGGUGUGAUAAUUGUCUACGCCGUGGGCUGUGAUGCUGUUUAACAUGCUUCGGCGUGUUGGGGUUCUGCUUCUAAUGGUCCCUUUGGUGGGACAACUUACUUUGACCUCUGACCUCAAAUCAGGUAGGAUUACCCGCUGAACUUAA
rnacentral:rRNA from 1 species